rnacentral:rRNA from 1 species
AUCUAUGGCCAUGCCACCCUGAACACGCCCAAUCCCAUCUGAUCUUGGAAUCUAAGCAGGGUCGGGCCUGGUUAGUACUUGGAUGGGAGACCAUCUAGGAAGACUGGGUGCUGUAGAAU